CGCCCUUCAGAGGGGGACAACAGUUGGAAACGACUGCUAAUACCGCAUGCGAUCUAAUCUCGGCAUCGAGGAAAGAUGAAAGGUGGCCUCUAUUUAUAAGCUAUCACUGAAGGAGGGGAUUGCGUCUGAUUAGCUAGUUGGAGGGGUAACGGCCCACCAAGGCGAUGAUCAGUAGCCGGUCUGAGAGGAUGAACGGCCACAUUGGGACUGAGACACGGCCCAG
rnacentral:rRNA from 1 species